UACGGAGGGGGCAAGCGUUAUUCGGAAUUAUUGGGCGUAAAGGGCGCGUAGGCGGCUAGAUGUGUCAAAGGUGAAAUCCCUCGGCUCAACUGAGGAACUGCCUUUGAAACUGUCUGGCUUGAGGCCGGGAGAGGGUAGCGGAAUUCCCAGUGUAGCGGUGAAAUGCGUAGAUAUUGGGAGGAACACCAGUGGCGAAGGCAGCCCCCUGGGAUAACACUGACGCUCAUGCACGAAAGCGUGGGGAGCAAACAGG
rnacentral:rRNA from 1 species